rnacentral:rRNA from 1 species
GGAUAUUGGGCGUAAGCGCGCGCAGGCGGUUUCUUAAGUCUGAUGUGAAAGCCCCCGGCUCAACCGGGGAGGGUCAUUGGAAACUGGGGAACUUGAGUGCAGAAGAGGAGAGUGGAAUUCCACGUGUAGCGGUGAAAUGCGUAGAGAUGUGGAGGAACACCAGUGGCGAAGGCGACUCUCUGGUCUGUAACUGACGCUGAGGCGCGAAAGCGUGGGGAGCGAACAGGAUUAGAUACCCUGGUAGUCCACGCCGUAAACGAUGAGUGCUAAGUGUUAGAGGGUUUCCGCCCUUUAGUGCUGCAGCAAACGCAUUAAGCACUCCGCCUGGGGAGUACGGUCGCAAGACUGAAACUCAAAGGAAUUGACGGGGGCCCGCACAAGCGGUGGAGCAUGUGGUUUAAUUCGAAGCAACGCGAAGAACCUUACCAGGUCUUGACAUCCUCUGACAACCCUAGAGAUAGGGCUUCCCCUUCGGGGGCAGAGUGACAGGUGGUGCAUGGUUGUCGUCAGCUCGUGUCGUGAGAUGUUGGGUUAAGUCCCGCAACGAGCGCAACCCUUGAUCUUAGUUGCCAGCAUUCAGUUGGGCACUCUAAGGUGACUGCCGGUGACAAACCGGAGGAAGGUGGGGAUGACGUCAAAUCAUCAUGCCCCUUAUGACCUGGGCUACACACGUGCUACAAU